UACAGAGGUCCCAAGCGUUGUUCGGAUUUACUGGGCGUAAAGGGUGCGUAGGCGGCCAAAAAAGUCUGAUGUGAAAGCUCGGAGCCUAACUCCGAAACUGCAUUGGAUACUGGUUGGCUUGAGGAAUGGAGGGGAGACUGGAAUUCUCGGUGUAGCAGUGAAAUGCGUAGAUAUCGAGAGGAACACCAGUGGCGAAGGCGAGUCUCUGGACAUUUCCUGACGCUGAGGCACGAAAGCCAAGGGAGCAAACGGG
rnacentral:rRNA from 1 species